rnacentral:rRNA from 1 species
UACGAAGGUGGCGAAUGUUGCUCGGAUUCACUGGGCGUAAAGCGUCGGUAGGAGGUUGUUUAAGUCAGGUGUGAAAGCCCCGUGCUCAACAUGGGAAUUGCAUUUGAAACUAGACGACUCGAAGGUAUGAGAGGAUGGCGGAAUAACUGGUGUAGAGGUAAAAUUCAUAGAUAUCAGUUGGCACACCCAUUGCGACGGCAGCUAUCUGGCAUAUUCUUGACUCUGAGCGACGACAGCGUGGGGAGCAAACAGG